UACGAAGGGGGCUAGCGUUGCUCGGAAUCACUGGGCGUAAAGCGCACGUAGGCGGCUUCUCAAGUCAGGGGUGAAAUCCUGGAGCUCAACUCCAGAACUGCCUUUGAUACUGAGGGGCUCGAGUCCGGGAGAGGGAAGCGGAAUUCCCGGUGUAGUGGUGAAAUGCGUAGAUAUCGGGAGGAACACCAGUGACGAAGGCGGCUUCCUGGCCUGUUCUUGACGCUGAGGCGCGAAAGCUAGGGUAGCAAACGGG
rnacentral:rRNA from 1 species